rnacentral:tRNA from 1 species
GCCUAGUUAAUUCAGUGGAAGAAUGCUGUCUUGGUACGACAGUCGUCGAGAGUUCGAUUCUCUCACUAGGCUC